CAUCUUGAAGAGGUUGCUGGGGCAGAAGAAGAACCAUCCUCCCCUCCUUCCCUCUACGGAGACAUUGUGAUGCCCAAACCUUCCAGCCUCCACCCUUCUACCGAGCCCGCAUCCAUCCGAAGAGUGCACUUUCUAGAGCAUCCGCAGCCAGGGUGGAUCUCGUGACGGGAAAUGGGAAGGACACCCAAGAAAGCAGGAUGCCUUGCAGUUCCGUGAACAACAGCAAGGUUCCCAUCAGACAGGCCGAACCACCUCACUGAGGAGGACAACCAAGUGAGCUCAUGGUUUCCAGUGGAGGCAGUCUGGGCUAGAAGAGACGAUCUCUCACCUAGAAGACAAGAUUGAGCAGCAAAGGUUUGACUGUGGGACUUGGGGGCCUGUCUCUGGCUAAUGGUGUAAAGAUUUAUG